CACAGAUCAAAAACUCUGGACACGGAUACAAAUCACGAUCUACUGAUACACUGUCCAGAAAUCUAUAGAUUAAUGAAUACGAAGCUGUUUUAAUGGGUUGCAAAUGUUUUUUAUGGGGUUCGCCUGAAGUUAAUGCAAAAUGUUAGCUGACCACAAUUAGAAAAUGGGAAUUUAGGGGAAGGUAAAGGUUUAACACGUUUAGUAAAGAAUUCCAUUCUGCCAGCAUGCGGGACGUCCUGGAUUGCACAUUCAUUUGAUUCAGGAGAUAGAUGGACCAGGAUAAGAACCUUGAAGAACCGGUGCCCAGUAGGUGUUGAUCAUCAUAGCUGGUCUACCGACACCAUUGGAGGUGCAACAGGCAAUAAUGUCCAGCAGAGCAGAGCUCGGAUGCUGCAGACUAUCACAGACAGGCUACCGGGCCUAAAAGGAGUUCAUAUCUUUGGGGUGGUGUAAACUAUGGAUGCAUCUACGAAACACGACCCCUGCUCACAUCCAGUCACAAAGGGUAACUGAGCAGUAGCCUUUCAUUCAGUUUUGGGCUGGUAACUGAAAUGUUCAAAUUCCCCAGCUGAAAGUUCUUACUUCAGCUGGGGAAGGCCUAAACUUUAUUGAGCAAGGCCUAAACUUUAUUGCUCCUGUUGGUCUCUCUGGCUCACAGCACCUGCUAACCCACCAAAAUGUAAUAAUUUGUGAAUGGAGAAGUGAUCGGAAUAUGUAGACUAUGACAUCUAGCUGCUUGAGUAAAGCUUUGGUUAAAGCCCUGAACUACCCAAUUUAAAAUUGAAGGGCUAGGCAUUUUACCUGCACAUUUCCGAUUGUUGAUUUCUUUCUUUGGGAAUGUUAGCGAGUGUUUCCCUCUAAUUGGAUCAGGUGGGCAAGCUGUUAUAUAUGGAAUAACGGUGGGUUCCAGAGGAGUUUUGACAACCACUGCAAAAAUCCACCCGCCAUGUAAUCUCCAGUCCAGAAUCCAAACCACCUGAACAUUUUAUUUUGUGCUGACUUUCUAUUAGUCCUAGACACAUGAGGGUGUAGAGGGAAACACACUAGAUACCUUGAGGGAACGGAGGACCAGGCCACUUUCAGGGCAUGUCCUCCUGAGUCAGUUUACUGCUUCCAGUACCUCUAUAGUUCCAGCCAACUUUUUCAUCCUCUUUAUGUUACGAGAAAUGUUUUUCCAGUCUGGAUGCAUCUUGUCCCGUAGUUGGAUACAUCUUUGACAUACUGUAUGCAGACUCAGUAACUACCAUGGG